rnacentral:rRNA from 1 species
GGUCAAGUGAAGAAGCGCAUACGGUGGAUGCCUUGGCAGUCAGAGGCGAUGAAAGACGUGGUAGCCUGCGAAAAGCUUCGGGGAGUCGGCAAACAGACUUUGAUCCGGAGAUGUCUGAAUGGGGGAACCCAGCCAUCAUAAGAUGGUUACCUUACACUGAAUACAUAGGUGUAUGGAGCGAACCAGGGGAACUGAAACAUCUAAGUACCCUGAGGAAAAGAAAUCAACCGAGAUUCCCUUAGUAGUGGCGAGCGAACGGGGACUAGCCCUUAAGUGGCUUUGAGAUUAGCGGAACGCUCUGGAAAGUGCGGCCAUAGUGGGUGAUAGCCCUGUACGCGAAAAUCUCUUAGUCAUGAAAUCGAGUAGGACGGAGCACGAGAAACUUUGUCUGAAUAUGGGGGGACCAUCCUCCAAGGCUAAAUACUACUGACUGACCGAUAGUGAACUAGUACCGUGAGGGAAAGGCGAAAAGAACCCCGGAGAGGGGAGUGAAAUAGAUCCUGAAACCGUAUGCGUACAAGCAGUGGGAGCCCACUUUGUUGGGUGACUGCGUACCUUUUGUAUAAUGGGUCAGCGACUUAUUUUCAGUGGCGAGCUUAACCGAAUAGGGGAGGCGUAGCGAAAGCGAGUCUUAAUAGGGCGUCUAGUCGCUGGGAAUAGACCCGAAACCGGGCGAUCUAUCCAUGGGCAGGUUGAAGGUUGGGUAACACUAACUGGAGGACCGAACCGACUACCGUUGAAAAGUUAGCGGAUGACCUGUGGAUCGGAGUGAAAGGCUAAUCAAGCUCGGAGAUAGCUGGUUCUCCUCGAAAGCUAUUUAGGUAGCGCCUCAUGUAUCACUGUAGGGGGUAGAGCACUGUUUCGGCUAGGGGGUCAUCCCGACUUACCAAACCGAUGCAAACUCCGAAUACCUACAAGUGCCGAGCAUGGGAGACACACGGCGGGUGCUAACGUCCGUCGUGAAAAGGGAAACAACCCAGACCGUCAGCUAAGGUCCCAAAGUUAUGGUUAAGUGGGAAACGAUGUGGGAAGGCUUAGACAGCUAGGAGGUUGGCUUAGAAGCAGCCACCCUUUAAAGAAAGCGUAAUAGCUCACUAGUCGAGUCGGCCUGCGCGGAAGAUGUAACGGGGCUCAAACCAUACACCGAAGCUACGGGUAUCACGUAAGUGAUGCGGUAGAGGAGCGUUCUGUAAGCCUGUGAAGGUGAGUUGAGAAGCUUGCUGGAGGUAUCAGAAGUGCGAAUGCUGACAUGAGUAACGACAAUGGGUGUGAAAAACACCCACGCCGAAAGACCAAGGUUUCCUGCGCAACGUUAAUCGACGCAGGGUUAGUCGGUCCCUAAGGCGAGGCUGAAAAGCGUAGUCGAUGGAAAACAGGUUAAUAUUCCUGUACUUCUGGUUAUUGCGAUGGAGGGACGGAGAAGGCUAGGCCAGCUUGGCGUUGGUUGUCCAAGUUUAAGGUGGUAGGCUGGAAUCUUAGGUAAAUCCGGGAUUCUAAGGCCGAGAGCUGAUGACGAGUCAUCUUUUAGAUGACGAAGUGGUUGAUGCCAUGCUUCCAAGAAAAGCUUCUAAGCUUCAGGUAACCAGGAACCGUACCCCAAACCGACACAGGUGGUUGGGUAGAGAAUACCAAGGCGCUUGAGAGAACUCGGGUGAAGGAACUAGGCAAAAUGGCACCGUAACUUCGGGAGAAGGUGCGCCGGUGAGGGUGAAGGACUUGCUCCGUAAGCUCAUGCCGGUCGAAGAUACCAGGCCGCUGCGACUGUUUAUUAAAAACACAGCACUCUGCAAACACGAAAGUGGACGUAUAGGGUGUGACGCCUGCCCGGUGCCGGAAGGUUAAUUGAUGGGGUUAGCUAACGCGAAGCUCUUGAUCGAAGCCCCGGUAAACGGCGGCCGUAACUAUAACGGUCCUAAGGUAGCGAAAUUCCUUGUCGGGUAAGUUCCGACCUGCACGAAUGGCGUAACGAUGGCGGCGCUGUCUCCACCCGAGACUCAGUGAAAUUGAAAUCGCUGUGAAGAUGCAGUGUAUCCGCGGCUAGACGGAAAGACCCCGUGAACCUUUACUAUAGCUUUGCACUGGACUUUGAAUUUGCUUGUGUAGGAUAGGUGGGAGGCUUUGAAGCGUGGACGCCAGUCUGCGUGGAGCCAACCUUGAAAUACCACCCUGGCAACUUUGAGGUUCUAACUCAGGUCCGUUAUCCGGAUCGAGGACAGUGUAUGGUGGGUAGUUUGACUGGGGCGGUCUCCUCCUAAAGAGUAACGGAGGAGUACGAAGGUGCGCUCAGACCGGUCGGAAAUCGGUCGUAGAGUAUAAAGGCAAAAGCGCGCUUGACUGCGAGACAGACACGUCGAGCAGGUACGAAAGUAGGUCUUAGUGAUCCGGUGGUUCUGUAUGGAAGGGCCAUCGCUCAACGGAUAAAAGGUACUCCGGGGAUAACAGGCUGAUACCGCCCAAGAGUUCAUAUCGACGGCGGUGUUUGGCACCUCGAUGUCGGCUCAUCACAUCCUGGGGCUGAAGCCGGUCCCAAGGGUAUGGCUGUUCGCCAUUUAAAGUGGUACGCGAGCUGGGUUUAGAACGUCGUGAGACAGUUCGGUCCCUAUCUGCCGUGGACGUUUGAGAUUUGAGAGGGGCUGCUCCUAGUACGAGAGGACCGGAGUGGACGAACCUCUGGUGUUCCGGUUGUCACGCCAGUGGCAUUGCCGGGUAGCUAUGUUCGGAAUAGAUAACCGCUGAAAGCAUCUAAGCGGGAAACUAGCCUCAAGAUGAGAUCUCACUGGAACCUUGAGUUCCCUGAAGGGCCGUCGAAGACUACGACGUUGAUAGGUUGGGUGUGUAAGCGCUGUGAGGCGUUGAGCUAACCAAUACUAAUUGCCCGUGAGGCUUGACCAU